UACGUAGGGGGCUAGCGUUGUCCGGAAUCAUUGGGCGUAAAGCGCGCGUAGGCGGCCCGGUAAGUCCGCUCUGAAAGUCCAGGGCUCAACCCUGGAAAGCGGGUGGAUACUGCCGGGCUAGAAUCCGGAAGAGGCGAGUGGAAUUCCUGGUGUAGCGGUGAAAUGCGUAGAUAUCUGGAGGAACACCGGUGGCGAAGGCGGCAUCCUGGACCGGCAUUGACGCUGAGGCGCGAAAGCUAGGGGAGCAAACGGG
rnacentral:rRNA from 1 species